UUUUUUUUUUUAGUAAAACUUGAAGUCUCCUUCUUGCCCAUAUUAAAAACCAAGGUUGGGCAGAGUGUUUGGAGACUUAAAUGUGGCUUUUUGUUAGUGGAGAUCUCCUUGGUGUUGUGAAGAACUUUAAGUCCUGACCAAAGCAGAGCUGCAUUUAAACUGGUCCCACCUGCCCCAUGGGUGUACGUGCAAAUGGAAGUGAAGGAUGGCUGGCCUCAACAAAUGGGACUGCAGCAGGUGACUUCUUCCAUGAAGUCCUGGUGAAGAUCUGUUGUUGGGCAAAAAGGAAAAAAAAAAAAAGAAGAACAAACUGCCUGAAAUCCAGCACUAUUCAUGUGUGCAGCAUGGAUUGUUUUAAAAUGCUGUUUUUCUUCAAAUAUCACAUUCAUAAGGCCAAUUCUAAAUGGAUCGAGAUGACACUAAGAGGUUUGGCAUCAGGUAAGCAAGGAUAUAAAGGGAAUUACAGAGGAGCCCUGUGACCUGGUGCCAGUUGAUCGCUUCUCAGAAGAGGGCAUAGCUCACCACUCAGCACAAGGCUGGGGGCUCUGAAUUUCACCGAGAUCCUGGGUCUUGGCAGUGUCGUCAUGCACACUGAGCAGCUCAUCUUUUCAUACAACAUCUUGCUGCCUUCUCCUGAAUCUAGGUCAGGCAAUCAAUAGAUUCUUAGAUUUGUUAAGGACUAUCAGAUCAUCUCACGUGACUUCAUACAAAAACUGUGUGCUUCUACGUAUCCCCACUUGGAUUCCAGCAACUUGUGACUGACUAGUUCAAGCCUUCCCAAAAUGCAUUCAUCUUUCACGUGAGAAUACUGCUGUUCAGUACACAGCAUACAUUCAUGCCAGUUAUUCUUGCAUUUAGCCUCUUCUCAUUGACUUUAGUGGAAAUGCUCCUCAGACACUCAUAGAAAUGAAUGGAGAAUCAGAGCCCUGAUGUUUGUGGGGAUACCUUCGAAUGGAGAGCACUUGGCUUGGUGCUCUCCCAUCUUCUGCAUGGAUUUUUCAGAGUUGUAAUAGAGAUCUGUUAUUUUUUGUGCAGUUGGAGUUGUGUUGCUUGUUAAUAAAUUCACCAAUCCGACUCUAAACUUGAAGAUU
rnacentral:lncRNA from 1 species